GCCGGUUUAGCUCAGUUGGUAGAGCAACCGCCUUGUAAGCGGUAGGUCGCGAGUUCGAGUCCCGCAACCGGCA
rnacentral:tRNA from 2 species